rfam:Triticum aestivum genome assembly, contig: Triticum_aestivum_CS42_TGACv1_scaffold_049837_1BS
AUGCUACUCCCUCCAUCCGGAAAAGCUUGUCUCACAAAUUGAUGUAUCUAGCACAAAGUUAGUGCUAGAUACAUCCAUUUGAGAGACAAGCUUGAGACAAGUUUUUUUUUCAGACGGAGGGAGUACAUU